UUUGCUCUUUUAUAGUUGCGGAACAAGAAUCAUAACAACUGUAAAAGGAACAGACUACUCAGAUUCUCUAUGACCAUCACAGUCUCCUCCCUGGAGGUGGGUCUACACAGGAAGCCAAAUCAGAACCAGAAGUUUCCCCAACAUGCACAGAAUCAGAAGGGAGGUUGAGGAUCCGGCUCUUCAAUGCAAUCAUACAAAGCCAGGCUCACACAUCACCUCACUGGCAGCCAAACCAGGAAAUGCCAAACCUGGCCGAGGUUCCCUGCCCACUGCCAGUAUUUGGCUCUGUCCUUUUCUCUUCCCCAAGCUCGCAAGGCUUCUCAAACUCCUCUUCUGAUUAAUGUGUGAACAUGGGCAUGUCCUGACAGGUAUUCUGAAAAAUAUUGCACAACUUUUUCAAUGUAUAUGUCAAAAGCAACCUGUCUACAAGAAGAAUGGUAAAAGAGGUGUUGUCAUACUCAGAAAAUAUUAUAAUCUGCACUGUUCAUAUAUACAAUACUAACAUUUAUAUAUGUUAUAAUAUAUGUUAUAAACUUAUAACUAUAAACUAAUGCCAUGAAAUACAACGGAUGGAAGAAUUUGUUACCAAGGGAUGAGUAGAGCGAACUGAAAUGACUUUAAGAUUUGAAGGAGUGUUUAUUCAAGGUCUUGGACUUUAUACUCUGGGGAGCUGAAAGUUUCUUCCAAAGGAAUCGUAGACACCCAUGGUCCAAAGCUGCACAAAAUACCUGAUUUAAAAAAAAAAAAGAGUGCUGAUAUCCCAGAGGAGCUCCCUGUGUCUCUGCUGGCACCAACAUGAAAUCCAAUAGCAAUCUAUUCCUCCAAGCCAUGUGGCUGACAGGGUCUUGGUGCUCCAGCCGGGUGUCAGGCCUGACCCUCGGAGGUGGGAGAGCCGAGUUCAGGACACUGGACCACCAGAGACCUCCUGGCCCCAUGUAAUAUCAAUCAAUGAGAGCUCUCCCAGAGAUCUCCAUCUCAACGCUAAGACCCAGCUCCACCCAACAGCCAGCAAGCUCCAGUGCUGGAUGCCCCAUGCCAAACAACUGGCAAGACAGGAACACAGCCCCACCCAUUAGCAGAGAGGCUGCCUAAAAUCAUACUAAGUUCACAGACACACCAAAACACACCACUGGAAACAGCCCUGCCCACCAGGAAGACAAGGUCCAGCCCCACGCACCAGAACACAGGCACCUGUUCCCUCCACCAGGAAGCCUACACAAGCCACUGAACCAACCUUACCCACUGAGGGCAGACACCAAAAACAACGGGAGCUACGAACUGCAGCCUGUGAAAAGGAGACCCCAAACACAGUAAGUUACGCAAAAUAAGAAGACAGAGAAAUAAGCAGCAGACAAAGGAUCAAAGUACAAACCCACCAGACCAAACAAAUGAAGAAGAAAUAGGCAGUCUACCUGAAAAAGAAUUCAGAGUAAUGAUAGUAAAGAUGAUGCAAAAUCUUGGAAAUAGGAUGGAGAAAAUACAAGAAACUUUUAAAAAGACCUAGAAGAGCUAAAGAGCAAACAAAGAUGAACACCACAAUAAAAUGCAACUUAAAAUUCUCUAGAAGGAACCAAUAACAGAAUAACUGAGGCAGAAGAAUGGAUAAGUGACCUGGAAGAUAAAAUAGUGGAAAUAACUACCACAGAGCAGAAUAAAGAAAAAAUAAUGAAAAGAAUUGAGGACAGUCUCAGAGACCUCUGGAAUAACAUUAAAUGCACCAACAUUGGAAUUAUAGGGGUCCCAGAAGUAGAAGAGAAAAAGAAAGGGUCUGAGAAAAUAUUUGAAGAGAUUAUAGUUGAAAACUUCCCUAACAUGGAAAAGGAAAUAGUCAAUCAAGUCCAGGAAGCACAAAGAGUCCCAUACAGGAUAAAUCCAAGGAGAAACAUGCGAGGACACAUAUUAAUCAAACUGUCAAAAAUUAAAUACAAAGAAAAGAAAUUAAAAGUAGCAAGGGAAAAGCAACAAAUAACAUACAAGGCAAUCCCCAUAGGGUUAACAGCUGAUCUUUCAGCAGAAACUCUGCCAGCCAGAGGGAGUGGCAGGACAUAUUUAAAGUGAUGAAAGGGAAAAACCUACAACCAAGACUACUCUACCCAACAAGGAUCUCAUUCAGAUUCAACGGAGAAAUUAAAACCUUUACAGACAAACAAAAGCUAAGAGAAUUCAGCACCACCAAACCAGCUUUACAACAAAUGCUAAAGGAACUUCUCUAGGCAGGAAACACAACAGAAGGAAAAGACCUACACAAACAAACCCAAAACAAUUAAGAAAAUGGGAAUAGGAACAUACAUAUCGAUAAUUACCUUAAAUGUAAAUGUAUUAAAUGCUCCAACCAAAAGACAUAGACUGGCUGAAUGGAUACAAAAACAAGAUCUGUAUAUAUGCUGUCUACAAGAGACCCACUUCAGACCUAGGGACACGUACAGACUGAAAGUGAGGGGAUGGAAAAAGAUAUUCCAUGCAAAUGGAAACCAAAAGAAAGCUGGAGUAUCAAUACUCAUAUCAGACAAAAUAGACAUUUUUGUUGUUGUUGUUGUUGGGGUAUGGACUUUAACACUGUAUUUUGAAGUCCUGUUAUUAAAUAAAUCACUUUUAGGAUUUUUAAGUAUUUCUGAUAAA